rnacentral:rRNA from 1 species
UGAGAAUCUGCCCUCAGGAGGGGGAUAACGGUUGGAAACGACCGCUAAUACCCCAUAUGCCUACUGGUGAAAUGAAUUUCGCCUGAGGAUGAGCUCGCGUCUGAUUAGCUUGUUGGUGAGGUAAUGGCUCACCAAGGCUUCGAUCAGUAGCUGGUCUGAGAGGAUGAUCAGCCACACUGGGACUGAGACACGGCCCAGACUCCUACGGGAGGCAGCAGUGGGGAAUUUUCCGCAAUGGGCGAAAGCCUGACGGAGCAACGCCGCGUGAGGGACGAAGGCCUCUGGGCUGUAAACCUCUUUUCUCAAGGAAGAAGAUAUGACGGUACUUGAGGAAUAAGCCACGGCUAAUUCCGUGCCAGCAGCCGCGGUAAUACGGGAGUGGCAAGCGUUAUCCGGAAUUAUUGGGCGUAAAGCGUCCGCAGGCGGCUUUUCAAGUCUGCUGUUAAAGCGUGGAGCUUAACUCCAUCAUGGCAGUGGAAACUGAAAGGCUUGAGUAUGGUAGGGGCAGAGGGAAUUCCCGGUGUAGCGGUGAAAUGCGUAGAUAUCGGGAAGAACACCAGUGGCGAAGGCGCUCUGCUGGGCCAUUACUGACGCUCAUGGACGAAAGCCAGGGGAGCGAAAGGGAUUAGAUACCCCUGUAGUCCUGGCCGUAAACGAUGAACACUAGGUGUCGGG